rnacentral:rRNA from 1 species
UACAGAGGGGGCAAGCGUUAUUCGGAAUUAUUGGGCGUAAAGGGCGCGUAGGCGGCUUGGCAAGUGGAAGGUGAGAUCCCUCGGCUUAACCGAGGAACUGCCCUCCAAACUGCUUCGCUUGAGACCGGGAGAGGUGAGUGGAAUUCCCAGUGUAGCGGUGAAAUGCGUAGAUAUUGGGAGGAACACCAGUGGCGAAGGCGGCUCACUGGACCGGUACUGACGCUGAUGCGCGAAAGCGUGGGGAGCAAACGGG